GCUGUGCCCGGGCACUGCCCGGACGGGGAAAGGGCCAGGGGAAGCGCCGCUCUACCAGGGCACUGCCGGUACCGGAGGGGACCCCGGGAGGCAGCGGGGAAGGGGUUCCGGGAUGCUUCGCUCGCAGCUGGUUUUCUCUCCUGUGCGUUUCCAGCACAGCCCAGCCAGCGGCACGGGGCACUUCGUGUAAGGAAGCACAGGAGGGGUCCAAACGCGUUGUGUUCAGAGGAAUAGAAUAUUUUAAGGUGCACACUCCAAUUGCUACCAAGCCAUUACCUUCCCUGUGACCCAGCGUUGCUGAAUUUAUCCCCUGGUAGCUGACUCCCGGCAUGAGUCAGGGAAACAAAAAUGGAGAGGUUUGGAAGAUCUUCUCCAUACUGAAUGGUGAAGUCUAUGUGCUGCAGAACGAUGUUUAUACUUUCCUCAUCAGAGCGAUCCAAAGGCAGGAAUCGAACCAUACCAUAAUCAUCAAUCUGUGGAAGGAUUCAAAGGAUGUUGCAAAUCCAUUUUGGUCAUGACGUUGAUUUGUGGAAUCUCCAAAGAUAUCAUUGCACUGAGAGCUGCCAGGACUCCAGAAAUAA